GCGAUUUAUGCAAAAGAAGCCCAUUUUUCCACGCUGAUUUGCUUUUGUCCAACACAUCUGCGGAGUGUGUACGGUGGACAGGCCCUCGGGAGGUGAUCUUGUGAACACUUGCUGAGGAUCCUUGAUGCCGAGUGCAGGAUGUUUCCUACCAGUUUGAAGCCAUGUCUGAAGGGUUCCGAGGUGGAAUGUUCUGCGCUGGCCGAUGGCGGCGUCGGGGGGGGGGGGCACUGCACCGCAUGCCCAUGGUGACGAGGAAACAGCUGACGCAGGCAACAACGGCAUAGACCAACAUCUGAAGGAUGACAGGUGAACAUUUAUUUUUACCUUGAGAUCCUUUAAUCAGCUAUUCAGUAAUUCUAUAUAACUCACCAAAAGUGGGAGUUGUGCCGUGCGAGCGAUCUUUGGAGACGCCAUGUUGGCGAUGAGGAUGCCCAGCGGGUUGGCUGUGGAGGAACAGCGGGCUAAAGAUGAUCACCUCCAUGUCAAGUGUCUCCCAUAAAAUUGCUCAUAGACACCUUGUAACUCACUUGGUCUGCCAGAGCAUAAGACCAUGUAGCAGGAAGGGAUCAGUGUUGCCAACGUAACCACUUUCUUGCUAUAUUGCGUAAUCAGACCUCUUUUUCCAAAAAGUGACUCAUCCAUUGGAAAGACUUUUGUAGACCAUGAAUGCAUGUGACCAGCGAGUGCAUCUGUGGGCCCCUCCCACAUCUAAAAUCACUCUAGGGAUGUAACCAUGAAUGGUAUUAAUGAUAACCGCGGUAAAACACCCCACAGUUAGUAUUACCAUUUUAAAGGGCGGUACAGCUUGGUUGGUAGAGCGGCCGUGCCAGCAACUUGAGGGUUCCAGGUUCGAUCCCCGCUUGCGCCAUCCUGGUCCAGUGGUUCUCAAAUAAUAGGACCUCUUUAAAUACUUGACAGUUUGAAGCAGUUUUCAA